rnacentral:rRNA from 1 species
GACGAACGCUGGCGGCGUGCUUAACACAUGCAAGUCGAACGAAGAGCGAUGGAAGCUUUCUUCUAUCAAUCUUAGUGGCGAACGGGUGAGUAACGCGUAAUCAACCCGCCCUUCAGAGGGGGACAACAGUUGGAAACGACUGCUAAUACCGCAUACGAUCUAAUCUCGGCAUCGAGGAUAGAUGAAAGGUGGCCGCUACAUGUAAGCUAUCACUGAAGGAGGGGAUUGCGUCUGGUUAGCUAGUUGGAGGGGGAACGGCCCACCAAGGCGAUGAUGAGUAGGCGGUCCGAGAGGAUGGACGGCCCAAUUGGGACUGGGACAAGGCCCCGGCUCCUAAGGGGGGGAGCCGGGGGGAAACUUCCGCAAUGGACGAAAGGCUGGCGGAGCAACGCCCCGGGAGUGGUGACGGCCUUCGGGUUGUAAAGCUCUGUUAAUCGGGACGAAAGGCCUUCUUGCGAACAGUUAGAAGGAUUGACGGUACCGGAAUAGAAAGCCACGGCUAACUACGUG